CACGUAGUUAGCCGGUGCUUCUUUACCCAUUACCGUCACUCACGCUUCGUCGCAGGCGAAAGCGGUUUACAACCCGAAGGCCGUCAUCCCGCACGCGGCGUUGCUGCAUCAGGCUUCCGCCCAUUGUGCAAUAUUCCCCACUGCUGCCUCCCGUAGGAGUCUGGGCCGUAUCUCAGUCCCAAUGUGGCCGGUCACCCUCUCAGGCCGGCUACCCGUCAAAGCCUUGGUAAGCCACUACCCCACCAACAAGCUGAUAAGCCGCGAGUCCAUCCCCAACCGCCGAAACUUUCCAACCCCCACCAUGCAGCAGGAGCUCCUAUCCGGUAUUAGCCCCAGUUUCCUGAAGUUAUCCCAAAGUCAAGGGCAGGUUACUCACGUGUUACUCACCCGUUCGCCACUCGAGCACCCCACAAAAGCAGGGCCUUUCCGUUCGACUUGCAUGUGUUAAGCACGCCGCCAGCGUUCGUCCUGAGCCAGGAUCAAACUCU
rnacentral:rRNA from 1 species